GACGAACGCUGGCGGCGUGCUUAACACAUGCAAGUCGAACGGAAAGGCCCUGCUUUUGUGGGGUGCUCGACUGGCGAACGGGUGAGUAACACGUGAGUAACCUGCCCUUGACUUUGGGAUAACUUCAGGAAACUGGGGCUAAUACCGGAUAGGAACUCCUGCUGCAUGGUGGGGGUUGGAAAGUUUCGGCGGUUGGGGAUGGACUCGCGGCUUAUCAGCUUGUUGGUGGGGUAGUGGCUUACCAAGGCUUUGACGGGUAGCCGGCCUGAGAGGGUGACCGGCCACAUUGGGACUGCGAGACGCCCCAGUAUCCUACGGGCGGCAGCAGUCGGGAAUCUUACACAAUGGGCGGAAGCCAGUUGCAGAAACGCCGCGUGCGGGAUACCGGCCUUCGAGUUGUAAACCGCUUUCGAAUGUGACGAAGCGUGAGUGACGGUAAUGGGUAAAGAAGCAACGGCUAACUACGUG
rnacentral:rRNA from 1 species